rnacentral:rRNA from 1 species
AUUGAACGCUGGCGGCAGGCCUAACACAUGCAAGUCGAGCGGAUGAAGGGAGCUUGCUCCUGGAUCCAGCGGCGGACGGGUGAGUAAUGCCUAGGAAUCUGCCUGGUAGUGGGGGAUAACGUCCGGAAACGGGCGCUAAUACCGCAUACGUCCUGAGGGAGAAAGUGGGGGAUCUUCGGACCUCACGCUAUCAGAUGAGCCUAGGUCGGAUUAGCUAGUUGGUGGGGUAAAGGCCUACCAAGGCGACGAUCCGUAACUGGUCUGAGAGGAUGAUCAGUCACACUGGAACUGAGACACGGUCCAGACUCCUACGGGAGGCAGCAGUGGGGAAUAUUGGACAAUGGGCGGAAGCCUGACCCAGCCAUGCCGCGUGUGUGGAGAAGAUCUUCGGUUUGUAAAGCACUUUAAGUUGGGAGAAAGGGCAGUAAGUUAAUACCUUGCUGUUUUGACGUUACCAACAGAAUAAGCACCGGCUAACUUCGUG